GUUGACCUCGGAUCAGGUAGGGAUACCCGCUGAACUUAAGCAUAUCAAUAAGCGGAGGAAAAGAAACCAACAGGGAUUGCCCUAGUAACGGCGAGUGAAGCGGCAACAGCUCAAAUUUGAAAUCUGGCGCAAGCCCGAGUUGUAAUUUGUAGAGGAUGCUUCUGGGCAGCGGCCGGUCUAAGUUCCUUGGAACAGGACGUCAUAGAGGGUGAGAAUCCCGUAUGUGACCGGCUGGCACCCUCCACGUAGCUCCUUCGACGAGUCGAGUUGUUUGGGAAUGCAGCUCUAAAUGGGAGGUAAAUUUCUUCUAAAGCUAAAUACCGGGCAGAGACCGAUAGCGCACAAGUAGAGUGAUCGAAAGAUGAAAAGUACUUUGGAAAGAGAGUUAAAAAGCACGUGAAAUUGUUGAAAGGGAAGCGCUUGCGACCAGACUUGUCGGCGGUGUUCCGCCGGUCUUCUGACCGGUUCACUCGCCGUCGGCAGGCCAGCAUCAUCUGGGGCCGCCGGAUAAAGGCUUUGGGAAUGUAGCUCCCCUCGGGGAGUGUUAUAGCCCUUUGCACAAUACGGCGCGCCCCGGGUGAGGUCCGCGUCUCGGCAAGGAUGCUGGCGUAAUGGUUGUAAGCGGCCCGUCUUGAAACACGGACCAAGGAGUCGAUUAUCUAUGCGAGUGUUCGGGCGUCAAACCCCUACGCGUAAUGAAAGUGAACGGAGGUGGGAACCCUUACCGGUGCACCAUCGACCGAUCCGGAUGUCUUCGGAUGGAUUUGAGUAAGAGCAUAGCUAAUCGGACCCGAAAGAUGGUGAACUAUGCCUGAAUAGGGUGAAGCCAGAGGAAACUCUGGUGGAGGCUCGCAGCGGUUCUGACGUGCAAAUCGAUCGUCAAAUUUGGGUAUAGGGGCGAAAGACUAAUCGAACCAUCUAGUAGCUGGUUCCUGC
rnacentral:rRNA from 1 species